AUGGAGUUCCUCAAGAUGUUAUCAAGUGCAUGCUGUUCACAUUCUCUCUCCGAGAUAAUGCUCGUGCUUGGUAUCGAUCCUUGCCAUCAAGAUCAUUCAGUUGGAAUGAGAUAUCAUGAGCUUUCUUGGCUAAAUAUUUCCCACUACACAAGCAGUCCGCAAUUCGAGAUGAGAUCUUUAGCUUCGUUCAGCGUGAAGGCAAGAGCUUGUAUGAUGCUUGGGAGAGAGCUACAGUUAGUUACUUUUGAUAUUGAUGAGAUACCUUUAGUUGAUAUUGAUCAUGUGCUGCUAGAGCCAGAUAUGGAAAAGUUCACCUUUAAUGAUGUUAGCCACAUAGAUUCUUCAACGCUUGAGCCUGAGAUGGAAAUCUUCAUUGUUGAUUAUGAUGAGGUCACUUCAGAUGUCAAGGAGCAAAGCCCUACUAUUUCACCUGUCGAUACGAGGCCGGUGGAGGUUUCUACUACCAUGCCUUCCAUGGUAUCUUCAGUUGAGGUAGUCAUAAAACUUCUCCAAGGCCAUUUCAGGUAUUAUCUCAGCUUUCUAGAUAAGUUAUGUCAUAUCGCUGAUAUUGCCUAUGCACCAUGUGACUUGUUGUUGAUACAUGUUCCUGAUUUGCUCAAUAGAUAUACUUAUAUGAUAUGGUACUCUAUCGAUGACUUAGAGGGCAUUCUCUAUGUCACUUGUAUUGGCUUGGUUAUUGAGUGUUCUUUUAGGUUUACACUUGUGCACCAUUUACGGUGA
rnacentral:rRNA from 1 species